rnacentral:rRNA from 1 species
UACGGAGGGGGCUAGCGUUGUUCGGAAUUACUGGGCGUAAAGCGCACGUAGGCGGCUUUGUAAGUCAGAGGUGAAAGCCUGGAGCUCAACUCCAGAACUGCCUUUGAUACUGAAGAUCUUGAGUUCGGGAGAGGUGAGUGGAGCUGCGAGUGUAGAGGUGAAAUUCGUAGAUAUUCGCAAGAACACCAGUGGCGAAGGCGGCUCACUGGCCCGAUACUGACGCUGAGGCACGAAAGCGUGGGGAGCAAACAGG